AACGAACGCUGGCGGCAGGCUUAACACAUGCAAGUCGAGCGCAUCCUUCGGGGUGAGUGGCAGACGGGUGAGUAACGCGUGGGAACGUGCCCUUCAGUUUGGAAUAACCCAGGGAAACUUGGGCUAAUACCGGAUACGCCCUAACGGGGAAAGAUUUAUCGCUGAAGGAUCGGCCCGCGUCUGAUUAGCUAGUUGGUGAGGUAAAGGCUCACCAAGGCGACGAUCAGUAGCUGGUCUGAGAGGAUGAUCAGCCACACUGGGACUGAGACACGGCCCAGACUCCUACGGGAGGCAGCAGUGGGGAAUAUUGGACAAUGGGCGCAAGCCUGAUCCAGCCAUGCCGCGUGAGUGAUGAAGGCCUUGGGGUUGUAAAGCUCUUUCGGCGGGGACGAUAAUGACGGUACCCGCAGAAGAAGCCCCGGCUAACUUCGUGCCAGCCGCCGCGGUAA
rnacentral:rRNA from 1 species